ACUACUGUCCGAGCUAAGAAGUGGCCCCGUGACAGAUAGGGCCCAGGGGAAUACAGCACUUUUUUUUCCCUUAAGAAGUUUGUGCUGGUAAGCUUGUAAGUAGUAUUUAUAAUAGGUGAGUCACUUAGGUUAGGUCUUUCUUUCUUUUAACUUCCAAUAAUAUAUUUACCCAGUCUUAUUUCCUGAGGAGUUGGUGCUGAACAGCAUGUUCUGAUGAACUAUAACUUUUUUGUUUCUUUUGUCCCCUUUUACAACCGCCUGCUUUGUAG
rnacentral:misc_RNA from 1 species